rnacentral:rRNA from 1 species
UCCAUGCGUCGGUCGUGAAAGGCUCGGGCUCAACCUGGGUUGGUCGGCCGAUACGGUGGAUCUUGAGUCACGUCGGCGCUGGGGGAAUUCCCGGUGUAGCGGUGAAAUGCGUAGAAGUCGGGAGGAACGCCGAUCGCGAAGGCACCUAGCGAGGCGUGUACUGACGCUGAGGGACGAAGGCUGGGGGAGCAAACCGGAUUAGAUACCCGGGUAGUCCCGGCUGUAAACGAUGCGCGCUUGUCGUGCGCCCAAGUGGGUGUGCGGCGAAGGGAAACCGAUAAGCGCGCCGCCUGGGGAGUACGGGCGCAAGCCUGAAACUCAAAGGAAUUGGCGGGGGCCCGCACAAGCGGUGGAGCGCCUGGUUUAAUCCGAUGCUAAGCGGAGGACCUCACCCGGGCUCGAACUCAGGUGGACAGCCUCCGAAAGGGGGUUUUCCCCGUUUGGGGACUGCCUGAGAGGAGCUGCAUGGCUGUCGUCAGCUCGUGCCGUGAGGUGUUCGGUUAAGUCCGGCAACGAGCGCAACCCAUGCCGUUAGUUGCCAGCGGCCCCUUGUGGGUGCUGGGCACUCUAGCGGGACUGCCGCCGUAAGGCGGAGGAAGGGGUGGAUGACGUCAAGUCGUCAUGGCCUUUAUGCCCGGGGCGACACAGGCGCUACAAUGCACGGGACAGAGGGUAGCGACCUGGUGACAGGGAGCCAAUCCCUAAACCCGUGCUCAGUACGGAUUGGAGUCUGCAACCCGACUCCAUGAAGCUGGAAUCGCUAGUAAUCGCGGAUCAGCCAUGCCGCGGUGAAUACGUUCUCGGGCCUUGCACACACCGCCCGUCACGCCAUGGGAGUCGGCAACUCCUGAAGUCUCGCGCGUUGGGGUGCGGGACGAAGGAGGGGUCGGCGACUGGGGCGAAGUCGUAACAAGGUAAC